rnacentral:rRNA from 1 species
GUCCACGCCGUAAACGAUGAGAACUAGGUGUGGGAGGUGUCGACUCCUCCCGUGCCGUCGCUAACGCAUUAAGUUCUCCGCCUGGGGAGUACGGCCGCAAGGCUAAAACUCAAAGGAAUUGACGGGGGCCCGCACAAGCAGCGGAGCAUGUGGUUUAAUUCGAUGCAACGCGAAGAACCUUACCUGGGUUUGAAAUGUUGGUGACAGGUGUUGAAACACAUCCUUCCUUCGGGACACCAUCACAGGUGGUGCAUGGCUGUCGU